GAAGAAAAAAAUUGCAGAUAUGAAAAAGAACUAAUACAAAUCUGUCUGUAUUUAAUCUUUUUCAUUAUUUCUUGCUUAUUAUUAACAGGAAUCCCUCUUAUUUGUAAAGAGGAUUUGAGAAGUUAUUAGUUACAAGACAACUUCUUGGGUCGGAUAGAAUUGGAUCAGAUCGUUCCACAUGGGCGACCCACGACCCAAAUCUUACACUUUAGGUAAACUCUGUUCCCUUUCUAAAUUCAUACUCAAUAUCAAAGGACCUUAUCAGAGAUAUCAGAUCAUUCGAUUCUCUGACCUGCUCUGGACACAGUAAAGUCGUUUGGUAUCAAUAAAAAAAACUUGUU